UACGUAGGGGGCUAGCGUUGUCCGGAAUCAUUGGGCGUAAAGCGCGUGUAGGCGGUUCGGUAAGUCCGCUGUGAAAGUCGGGGGCUCAACCCUCGAAUGCCGGUGGAUACUGUCGGACUAGAGUACGGAAGAGGCGAGUGGAAUUCCUGGUGUAGCGGUGAAAUGCGCAGAUAUCAGGAGGAACACCAAGUGCGAAGGCAGCGCGCUGGGACGUUACUGACGCUGAGACGCGAAAGCGUGGGGAGCAAACAGG
rnacentral:rRNA from 1 species